GGUGGCUCGCUUCACGGCUUCCCUACGGCACCGACAACGGUCGCACCGUGGCCGACACCUAGCGAGUAUCGUUUACGGCUAGGACUACCCGGGUAUCUAAUCCGGWUCGUGCCCCUAGCUUUCGUCCCUUGCCGUCAGGUCCGUUCUGGUGAGACGCCUUCGCCACUGGUGGUCCUUCAAGGAUUACAAGAUUUCACCCCUACCCCUGAAGUGCCUCUCACCUCUCCCGGCCUCGAGCCGAACAGUAUCUCCUGAAAGCCCAACAGUUGAGCCGCUGGAUUUCUCAAGAGACUUAUCCGGCCGGCUACAGACCCUUUAGACCCAAUAAUAACGGUUACCACUCGAGCCGCCGGUGUUACCGCGGCGGCUGGCACCGGUCUUGCCCGGCCCUUGCUAUGCAAUGCUUUUUAGGCAUCAC
rnacentral:rRNA from 1 species